UACGUAGGGUGCGAGCGUUAAUCGGAAUUACUGGGCGUAAAGCGUGCGCAGGCGGUUUUGUAAGCCAGAUGUGAAAGCCCCGGGCUUAACCUGGGAAUGGCAUUUGGGACUGCAAGGCUUGAGUGCGGCAGAGGAGACUGGAAUUCCUGGUGUAGCAGUGAAAUGCGUAGAUAUGUGGAGGAAUACCGAUGGCGAAGGCAGCCCCCUGGGCCAAGACUGACGCUCAUGCACGAAAGCGUGGGGAGCAAACAGG
rnacentral:rRNA from 1 species